rnacentral:lncRNA from 1 species
GACGAUUCUGUCCUACGUGGAAUAAACGACGAUUACGUCGUACAUUCGACGUCAAGUUACGAGGAAUUAACGAGCAGUACGUUUAAAUCCCUAAAAUCCGAAACCCCAAACCCCAAAACCCCAUAUUCCUUAUCUUCUACUUCAUAUAUUCCAAACCCCAUGUUUAUUUCCAUUCCAAACCACAAUUCCCACAUUUACUUAUUUAUAAAACAAACUCCCACAAUUUCUUAUUCAUAAAACAAACUCCCACAUUACCUUAUUCAUAAAACAAACUCUCACAAUACCUUAUUC